rnacentral:lncRNA from 1 species
AUGUAAGGACUAACAAUUUGUGUCAACUUAUCUUACGGUUGCCUGCAUACAUUAUUUUGGGCACACAAAUCAAUAAUUAUUUCGAAUAACUUUUAUUCUUUGAUAUUUGGAUGAGAAUAUACCCGUAGAUAGAGAUGAUACCCACAAGACUGGAAAGAAUUCCAUUAUAGCCAAGAAAAACCAAAAAGUAUCCAGGAUUAAUAUGGUGGAGGUCUGGCCUGCCUCCAUGUGGCGCUUCUCCAAUCAUUACCUCAAUUCCCUAGAGUUCGCCGUUUAGGGUAUCUUGGAGAAGAAUGUCUGCCUACCCUCUCAUCCAAAUUUGGAUUCGCUCCAAGCUGCCAUCGUAACAGCGUGGUACACAAUGGAUUCGGCAUUUAUCUAUUCACCGGUGUGUCGAGGUUGCUAUUAUUUGUGUAUGAGGACAUAUUGAAUAAAAAAAAUCAAGCCUAAUAAAAAUACAAGGUUAGGCCAUUAUAUAAUCGGGCUUGCUGCUAGAAUUUACAAUUUGUUGUCAAGAACAAUGACGUAGGAGAUGGAAAAUCCUAUAAAUAAAUAUUAGGACCAAGUUUGUCAAUCCUCUAUCAUCUCAUACGUCCAUACUCAAUUGUUACGUUUCCACGGACUAAAAGUCUGUACAUCAUUAUUUAAUUUAAAAAUGUUGAUUUUUAAGUAUAGGGAGUUGUACUCCAAUUUCUCUGGAUUUUUGAUUGAGUAUGAUAAUUUUGAAUAUGUUUCAUUAAUUCACUCAUCGCUCAGAAUCAUCUUUUUAUACAAUUUUCAAACUCAUAUCCGCAUGGAUGAGAAUUAAUUGAUUAUUUCUGCCUUGAAAAAUUAAUGCAAGCCCAUACUUAUGACAUUAUUUAAUUUUUUAUCUCAACUAUGUUUUUGUCCUGAGGAAUGAGGCAAAUUAAUUUAUUACACUCAAUGAAUAUAAAUGAACUUUAGCAAAUAAUAAACGAGGCAAACAUUGAUAAUGUUAUGUGUCUUCCCAUGUCAA